CACGCCUCCCAACGGCUAUAAUUCAUUAAUUCUAAACCCUAUUCACAUAAACCCCCCAAAAUAUUCGUUCACAAAUUCGCUCAUUCAAUCGCUAACGAUCUCAUCCGAUUACGUCUUCUUCAAGUGUUCUUUCUCCGAUUACGUUCUUUCUUUCUUCAAUUACUGUUUUCUUAAUCUGAUUUCUGUUCAUAUUCUAUUGAUUAAUCUCUUUUUUUUUGCAGGUUCUUGCAGGUUUUUCUAAUCUGUUUAUCUGUUUUAUACAUAUAUCUAUAUAUAUAUCUGUUACUACUAACAUCAUGAAUGCAGAAUCUGAAAGUUGUUCGGCCACCAAAGCACGAUCACAACGCCCGUUGCAGGAUCAGUUUCUGAAACGAAAAAGUUAUCGUGAAAACUUAGAUCGGUUCAUACCGAACAGAUCAGCUAUGGAUUUCGACUACGCUCAUUGUAUGCUUACAGGAGCUUGGAGAGGUAAGGAAAAUCCGGUUGCAAGCUCACCUUCUCGGGAAGCGUACAGGAAGCUUUUGGCGGAGAGUCUCAACAUGAACAGGACGAGGAUUCUUGCGUUCAGAAACAAGCCUCCUACACGGAUGGAUACGAUUUCAAGCGAUUGGUCUUCUGUUCAGCUGUCAGAACCAGUAAAAUCUCGUAGAUACAUUCCUCAGACUUCUGAGAGGACAUUGGACGCACCGGAUAUACAAGACGAUUUCUACUUGAAUCUUUUGGACUGGGGGACCAGCAAUGUUCUCGCGAUUGCCCUAUCAAACACGGUCUAUCUCUGGAACGCCGCAAACAGUAGCACCGCAGAACUCGUUACCGUAGACGACGACACUGGUCCCGUGACAAGCGUUAAAUGGGCGCCUGACGGCCGUCACAUCUCCAUCGGCUUAAACAAUUCUGAAAUCCAACUCUGGGAUCAUACCGCUAACAAACUGUUGAGGACCUUGAGAGGCGGCCAUGAUUCACGUGUCGGGUCGUUAGAUUGGAACAGUCACAUUCUCUCAACCGGGGGAAUGGACGGUCGGAUCGUAAACAACGAUGUCCGAAUCCGAUCGCAUAUCGUGGAGACUUACUCUGGUCACCACCAAGAAGUCUGCGGGUUAAAAUGGUCAACCUCCGGCCGGCAGUUAGCGAGCGGGGGCAACGACAAUCUCCUCCACAUAUGGGACCGAUCAAUGGCUUCGGUUAAUUCGCGUACCGAAUGGCUUCACAGGCUGGAGGAUCACACUGCAGCGGUGAAAGCGCUCGCUUGGUGUCCGUUUCAAGCCAAUCUUCUUGCUUCUGGAGGUGGUGGCAGUGACCGGUGCAUAAAGUUUUGGAACACGCACACCGGUUCGUGCUUGAACUCGGUAGAUACCGGGUCACAGGUCUGCGCGCUUUUAUGGAACACGCAUGAGCGCGAGCUGCUGAGCUCACAUGGGUUCACUCAGAACCAGUUGACUCUAUGGAAGUAUCCGUCAAUGGUCAAGAUGGCUGAGCUCACUGGUCAUACAUCCAGAGUUCUGUUCAUGACACAGAGCCCUGACGGAUGCACCGUUGCUUCUGCUGCCGGAGAUGAGACUUUGAGAUUCUGGAAUGUUUUUGGAAGCCCUGAAGUUGCUGCUAAAGCUGCUACAGUAAAACCCGUCCCUGGACCGUUCGCUCACUUGAACUGUAUUCGCUAGACCUGCUGGUUGCAAAUGUGUUCGAAACAGUCUUUUAAUAAUGCUGAGCGUGCUGAAUGGAACAACAUGCUGAUUGAUAUGCUGGAUGUUAUUCAUCUUACGGAUAGGUGGUCAUGGUUGGGAGGAGAUCGCUCGAUAGGUACGAUUUUGCUUGGUCGAAGUGGGUCCCAAAAAAAAUUAAUAUCUUUGUUUGGAGAGCGGUCUUGAAUCGACUGCCAACGGUGUCGAAUCUUCAAGUUAGGAACUGUUUUUCUAGUGAUAUUAAAUGCUGCCUUUGUGACGAUAGUGAAGAAACUGCUGAGCAUUUGUUGUGUUCCUGCAUUGUCGCGUCUCGGGUGUGGAGUUAUAUAGAGAGGUGGUGUAAGGUGAGCCGGUUUUUUGUGUUUUCCGUUAGAGAUCUUAUCGAGUUUCCGGACUUUUAUGGGCUAGCGAAAGAGAUUUUUAAAGGUAAUUAUCAUGGUUUCGUGGUGGUGUAUUUGGUUAGCAAGGAAUCAAAAUAGGUUUUCAAAUGCAGAUGCAAAGGCUGAAGAGAUCAUUGCUUUAAGUCUAUGGGUUUCUUGUGGUAUAGGAAUCGUUCCAAGGAUAGAUGUCUUAGAUGGGAAGAUUGGUGUAAUUUCAAUUUUGUGCAAGGGUCGUUGUGUUUUUGCCGCCUCUUUUUGAGGUUUUGGCGUUGUGAAUAAUAAAUAGUUACCUUUCAAAAAAAAAAAGAGCCCUGAUGGAUGCACCGUUGCUUCUGCUGCCGGAGACGAGACGUUGAGAUUCUGGAACGUUUUUGGAAGCCCUGAAGCUGCUGCUAAAGCUGCUACCGUAAAGCCCGUCCCUGGACCGUUUGCUCACUUGAACCGUAUUCGCUGAUUCGUAGUUUUUACGCAAGACGGUUGCAAAUGUGUGUAAGCCAACGCUAGUUGUCUCUAACUGUGUUUCAUUUGUGAAGUUUUGGAUUAAAUUUCAUUUUGGUGCAGUGUUUUUUGUAGAAGGUUUUGGUUGAUCAUUAUUGUUCAACAGGUAUAUUUAUAUGAAGAUAAUACAGUAAAAGAUUGGCAGACUUUA